rnacentral:rRNA from 1 species
UACGGGGGGGCAAGCGUUGUUCGGAAUUACUGGGCGUAAAGGUUCGUAGGUGGCCUGCUAAGUCAGACGUGAAAUCCCUCAGCUUAACUGGGAACUGCGUCUGAGACUGGAAGCUCGAGUGCAGGAGAGGAACGCGGAAUUCCAGGUGUAGCGGUGAAAUGCGUAGAUAUCUGGAGGAACACCGGUGGCGAAGGCGGCGUUCUGGACUGCAACUGACACUGAGGAACGAAGCCAGGGAGCAAACGG